ACCUCCCUAUCCCCGUGAGGAGCUCGGGAAUUUAGGGAGCAGAGGUGGAAUCAGCUUAUAAAAGCUACUUAAAAGGGCCGGCCUGAGAGAUCCCUUAACACUCUUGGAGAAGGAGAGAUUGCCAAAAAAGAAAGUCUGUUUCUGAUGCUGUAUUUAGCAAAGGUUCACAGCAUUGACCAAUGCAUGAAGUCUUGAUGUCUGCUUCCUGGAUGGACUAAUUCUUGCCUUCAGACUGUCUGUGAUUGGGAGUCAUUUCCAAACUGGGAAAUCUUCUUACAGAUGAAAUGCUUAGAAGCUGCAUGGCUGGUACAGAUGGAAGUCUCCAGCUUCCAUGAGGGGAACUUGAUCCCUAACUACUGGGCAGUUACUGCCCCCAUGUGGAAGCCAUCUUGUUUUAGAGGAUCCUCUUGUCAAGAGUGUAAAUUAUAAUUUGAUCAACAGACAACCUUGUGACAAAUAAAGGCAGAAAAUAGAAAAAAUCUUCUCAGAUGUUAAAUAGAGCUUUAUAAAUAAAAGCUUCUGAAACUAUGCUGCUACCAAGUUAAUGGAGUCUUGGACACAUCUGUUAAAGGAAUUUGUGGACAAAAAAAAACCUCUGAACUAUUCUAAAAUUCAAGGAUCAACUCUAAUCAUCACUUAAUCUAUGUAAAUCUAACUAAUAGAGUUCCAUUUUCCAAAAGGAUGAUGAGAUCUUUGGGGACUAUAAGGGAAAACAAUUGUAUAUCCAUAUUGUUGCUACCCUGACUGCUAUAUCUCUACUUCAAGUUUUGGCCAUUUUCCAACUGAACAAAAAAAAUGGCUGGGUCCAGCAGCGACCAGAAAACUGACAGCUAUCUUGGAUGUGAAUUUUACUGGAAUUUUUUUUUUAAAUAGAUGGUACUGGCUAGUACUGUUCCAUGUCUUCCUUCAUAUGAAGGACCAUUAAAACUUUCCUGAAUAGAUAGCAUUUAUGCUUAAAGCUCUAUAUGAGAGGAGGGAUUAGCCUUUUUCACACCUUUAGAGAUUGAGUUUCUUACCUAAACAAGAUGUCCUUUAACUCUGAAUACUAAAACCUUUCCCACAGUCCUUACAUUUUUAAAGGUUCUUGUUCCAAGCAAGUGCUUGUUCCAAAACAAGGAACACUUUAAACGUGUUUUUAAAAAAAAAAAAAAAAAAAAAAAAAAAA